UCCGUAGGGUGAACCUGCGGAGGGAUCAUUACUGAGUUUACGCUCUAUAACCCUUUGUGAACAUACCUAUAACUGUUGCUUCGGCGGGUAGGGUCUCCGUGACCCUCCCGGCCUCCCGCCCCCGGGCGGGUCGGCGCCCGCCGGAGGAUAACCAAACUCUGAUUUAACGACGUUUCUUCUGAGUGGUACAAGCAAAUAAUCAAAACUUUUAACAACGGAUCUCUUGGUUCUGGCAUCGAUGAAGAACGCAGCGAAAUGCGAUAAGUAAUGUGAAUUGCAGAAUUCAGUGAAUCAUCGAAUCUUUGAACGCACAUUGCGCCCGCCAGCAUUCUGGCGGGCAUGCCUGUUCGAGCGUCAUUUCAACCCUCAAGCUCUGCUUGGUGUUGGGGCCCUACAGCUGAUGUAGGCCCUCAAAGGUAGUGGCGGACCCUCCCGGAGCCUCCUUUGCGUAGUAACUUUACGUCUCGCACUGGGAUCCGGAGGGACUCUUGCCGUAAAACCCCCCAAUUUUCCAAAGGUUGACCUCGGAUCAGGUAGGAAUACCCGCUGAACUUAAGCAUAUCAAUAAG
rnacentral:rRNA from 1 species